GACGAACGCUGACGGCGUGCCUAAUACAUGCAAGUCGAGCGAAGUUUUUCUGGUGCUUGCACCGGAAAAACUUAGCGGCGAACGGGUGAGUAACACGUAAAGAACCUGCCUCAUAGACUGGGACAACUAUUGGAAACGAUAGCUAAUACCGGAUAAUAGCAUUAACUGCAUGGUUGAUGUUUAAAAGUUGGUUUUGCUAACACUAUGAGAUGGCUUUGCGGUGCAUUAGCUAGUUGGUGGGGUAAAGGCCUACCAAGGCGACGAUGCAUAGCCGACCUGAGAGGGUGAUCGGCCACACUGGGACUGAGACACGGCCCAGACUCCUACGGGAGGCAGCAGUAGGGAAUCUUCCGCAAUGGGCGAAAGCCUGACGGAGCAACGCCGCGUGAGUGAAGAAGGAUUUCGGUUCGUAAAGCUCUGUUGUUAGGGAAGAAUGAUUGUGUAGUAACUAUACACAGUAGAGACGGUACCUAACCAGAAAGCCACGGCUAACUACGUG
rnacentral:rRNA from 1 species